GGUAAAUAGGGGCAGGCAGGCGCGGUAGUACGUGGGGGGUGAGCUGUGUCCGGGGUGACUGGGCGUGAAGCGAAUGCAGGCGGCUCAUUACGCACGGCGGGAAAGCCCCCGGCUCAACCGGGGAGGGUCGUCGUGUACGGGUGAGCUUGAGGGUAUCAGGGGCUGGUGGAAUUCCCGGUGUAGUGGUGAAAUGCGUAGAGAUCGGGAGGAACACCUGUGGCGAAGGCGGCCAGCUGGGAUACACCUGACGCUGAGAUGCGAAGGCGUGGGGAGCGAACGGGAUUAGAUACCCGAGUAGUC
rnacentral:rRNA from 1 species